rnacentral:rRNA from 1 species
GUGCAGCAGGCGCGAAAACUUCACAAUGUGCGAAAGCACGAUGAGGGAAUCCCAAGUGCUUGCUCGUAAGAGUAAGCUGUUUCUCUGUCUAAAACGCAGAGAGAGUAAGGGCUGGGUAAGACGGGUGCCAGCCGCCGCGGUAAUACCUGCAGCUCGAGUGGUGGCCGCUAUUAUUGGGCCUAAAACGUCCGUAGCCGGUUUAUUAAAUGCCUGGGUAAAUCGGACCGCUUAACGGUUCGAAUUCCGGGUAGACUGAUAAACUUGAGACCGGGAGAAGCUAGAGGUACUCCUGGGGUAGAGGUGAAAUUCUGUAAUCCUAGGGGACCACCAGUGGCGAAGGCGUCUAGCUAGAACGGGUCUGACGGUGAGGGACGAAGCCCUGGGGCGCAAACGGGGAUUAGAUACCCCGUGU